rnacentral:rRNA from 1 species
UACGUAGGGGGCAAGCGUUGUCCGGAUUUAUUGGGCGUAAAGAGCGUGUAGGCGGCUUUGCAGGCCCGCUGUGAAAACUCGAGGCUCAACCUCGAGCUGUCGGUGGAAACCGUAAAGCUAGAGUCCGGAAGAGGAGAGUGGAAUUCCCGGUGUAGCGGUGAAAUGCGCAGAUAUCGGGAAGAACACCCGUGGCGAAGGCGGCUCUCUGGGACGGUACUGACGCUGAGACGCGAAAGCGUGGGGAGCGAACAGG